CUGGUUAUAUAAAAGGCUUGGAUACAUCUGCUGUUUACCCCUGGGCCAAAUCCAACACAAACCCAGAUAGUUUGGACACCACCGGCACAGCAAAAACCUAUUGCCAGACAUAUUGCUGUGUUGAGUGUGGAAAAUUCCCAGAAUGCAUUAGUAGGCACCCGGUGAGGUAAUGUCAUGAUGAAUUGAAGAAACAGGUGUGGAUUGAUUGAUAGAUGGGUGCGGGGAACAGAACACAAUUGGAGAUUGAGCAAUCACAUACACGAACGAACGCACUGAAAGAUGACAUCAUCCACAGGCCAAAGAUUGGCAAAAGAAAAAGUUCUCUUAGACCCUGGAAUGUUCUCCUAUUGUCCGGCCAGACCCUGCCACACCCACACUCUGACCUGUCGAGACAGGGGGAGGGCCCUCUCACUCAGCCAGGCAUCUGGAGCUCUGCUUAAAGCAAGACGGAUGUGUGCGUCCAUCACCUGCAGGAAAACAACAGCAGCUGCAGCUGCAGCAACUUCUGUGGAAAUAAAGAAGGGUAGAAGGGUAAAUUGAUUAUGUUUGAAUUGACAUUUUUCUUAUUUUCAUCAGGCAUUCUAGUAGUCCCUUACCAACUAUGUUUUUUUUAAAUAUGAACGUGAUUCAAACAUGGGCACACACACACACGCACGCACACACACGCACGUACGCAUGCACACGCACACAUGCGCAAGCACACACAUAAACACACACACACACACACACACACACACACACACACACACACACACACACACACACACACACACACACACACACACACACACACACACACACACACACACACAGCUCCCUGGUUUCACAUCUACAUGUCAUUAAACACACAGCAAAAUAUCGAACACACACCUUUAUUCAUCAUGGUUAACCCGUCACUGAAGUCAGUUGCGUAAUCAGGGUCGUGCGUUUAUGUAGCUACAUGCAUCAAUCCGAUUAACGCUCUACCCACCGUACGGGCUCGUGUCCACUGUGCUGCAGGUUCCUCUUUAUCAGCCCGGGUUAUCUCGGCCACUCCCGCCCGUCGACGGAGAAUAGUUUGUACAGGCAUACCAUUGACGGCGGCUGAGCCUGCUCGUCGAGUUGGGUUAAUACAUGUUUGUGACACGGUUAGGCUUAAUCACCCUGUUCCAGUUCCGAGGAAUAAUGCUUUGUCUCGGGUGUCAUUUUUUCUUUUUAAUCUAAACCAAAUGAAUUCAUUAGACCAAUAAUGCCAAGUCCUUCAAAACAAACACAAUUAAACAAACAUUUAAGGACACCAUUGCCAAGCCGCAUCAGUUGGAUGGCAGCCAAUCUGUUGUAUAAGUGCUGAUAUUAUCUGAGAAGAUGGUUUGAAAGAAAUAGGAUUUCCUGUUCUCUGGGAAGAAUACCGAGAAGCAUAUGUGAGAUACAAUUCUGUCUCCUCCUCAGUUAGGCAUUGUGUUUUGUGUGUUGAGUAAUCAUGCACAACAUUUACCUACUGAUGUUCAAUAUUGACUGCAUUGUAUACACUUAACGGCCUUACCACCAUGGACAGGCUGAUCUCGUCUCGUACCGUACUGCAAUGUACAGUAUCGUAUUUGUAUUUGUAGUAUUUGUUUUUUUUGGUUGUUGUGAAAACGUGCCUUAUCAAGUUUUAGGUUGAAUCUAGCUUAUUUAUUUUGUUACCAUUGGAUUCAUUGGCCCUCAAAUAUGACAUUUCAUUGGGAGUCCAAUUCCUCCACUGAAAAGGGUGGAAAGUGCUUACAACUCUCUGCUAGGUAGCGAUCUAUGACACUUGUUUUUUAUUGGUCGUCAUGAAAAAAACAUAAGGGGUAACACUGUCGUUUUAAUCAAAUGAAACAUGAGGGGUAACACUGUCUUUUUUAUCAAAUGAAACAUAAGGGGUUACACUGUCGUUUUUUAUCGUCGUUUUAUAUCAGUCGUCAUGAAAAAAGACAUAAGGGGAAACACUGUCGUUUUUUGUCGGUCGUCAUGAAAAAAAACAUAAGGGGUAAGUUACCCCUUAUGUUUUUUUUCAUGAC
rnacentral:lncRNA from 1 species